UACGUAGGGGGCAAGCGUUGUCCGGAUUUAUUGGGCGUAAAGAGCGUGUAGGCGGCCUGAAAGGUCAGCUGUGAAAACUCGAGGCUCAACCUCGAGACGUCGGUUGAAACCAUCUGGCUAGAGUCCGGAAGAGGAGAGUGGAAUUCCCGGUGUAGCGGUGAAAUGCGCAGAUAUCGGGAAGAACACCCGUGGCGAAGGCGGCUCUCUGGGACGGUACUGACGCUGAGGCGCGAGAGCGUGGGGAGCGAACCGG
rnacentral:rRNA from 1 species